ensembl:piRNA 21ur-1566 ncRNA
UGUAAGGUUGGACAUCUCUUG